rnacentral:lncRNA from 1 species
GUUGUAUGCUAGAUUGGUAUGUACUAUAUACAUCUGGAUGACAGUGAGGAUUAAAGAGUGUCGUUAUUUCCAAUGGAAAAAUGCCUAAAUCUCGCUGUCCACUAAUUCACGGCAAUGAAAUUCUCUAACUCUGCAAAAAUCGCUUUGAUGUUGUACCAGCUGGAGCUUUUUCGUCUUCUGAAUUGAACAGGCAGGAGUUUAGUUUGGUGUUCUCAAAGAGGCCAUAGUUUGAUGUCCUAAAUCUAAUUUGGCCUUUCAAGUUAGAUAUUAUCCAUGUAUAAAUACAGAUUUCCUUGAAUAUGUAUUGUUUUGAUCAACACAAAAUAGCUCUAGCCUCUCGUACAAUUUUCAGUGUCGUGCAUGGGUGGUUUUUGUGCAGUUAUGUUGAUCUGCAUGCAUUUUCUGCAUUAUAGUGUUGAUAUGUCUCAGUAAAAUAGUGAGUACAUAUAACGUAUGCAAGCUACAACCAGUUAGUUUUGUUACUAAUCCAUUGAUCCUUUGUUACAUUCCAAGAGUCAGGGUACCGGCACCCAAAUAAAUUCAGGCCAGUCCUCGAUGUGAAGAAGCUAAGGGAGGCGGAUCCCGACCCUUAUGACAGCCAAAAUUAGGCCGCCACUCGUCUCUCUCCUGCACCUGCUAUUCAGAUGGCCAACAACACUUCGUGAGCAAUGACUGCUGUCCAGUUAAGAGCAAGUAUGUUUUCUUGCUGAAGCAUUGUUUGGAUUAUAGUUACUUCUCUGUUUCUGUCAAUAACUACACAUGUGUUCUUCUACUUAUACCGUCACAUUCUUAUCUUUUGACAUGGAUCCUUUAAGAUCAUUAAAUAGACCACCCAGUGCAUGUAGAGAUUGUCCAAUGCCCUGAACUAUGCCAUGAUGUAUUCAUGCAAGGUGAUGCUAUAACCAUAUCUAGAGAAGAUCGCAGACAAAUUUCUUAAGCACUAUUGUGUUCACUAUGCUCUUCACUGGCAUGUCAGCACUGAUUUUAUCUUUCUAAAUUCCCAAGAAUUAGAAUUUACUAUUUAGGCAGUGACAGUGCUUCGAAGGUUUGAGUUUUUUUUAAGAUCCCCAGAUGUGUUUCUGCAACUUACAAGUUGUUGUGCACCUUGCAAUAUUACCUUAGAAGGGCUUAUCACAUUUAGAAAGACAACUUCGUAACCAUUACAAUAUUUCUCUGUUUCUUUUUUUUCUUAAUAUUCCCUUCUUUUCUGAAGUUCUUCUCGCAAACUGUCGGUCAAGGUUGUAUUAUGUAAUUUUAGGCUAUGUAUUUUUGGCGCAUUCCCAUUUUGGAAAAAAAGCAAUAGCCAGUGAUGUGUGAUGUUUCAAGAAGAACUGAAAUUAGUAAACAACUCUAUACGAAAGAAUAAUAAUGAACAUGACUUCAAAAACCUGGAGAUGUUAUACUGGAAUUGUUGCAAAUCUUUGGAGAUGUUUCCUAAAGAGCACAAGCAUAGUAGAUUUACUGAAUUUAAAUAACAACAUGCAACAAUACAGAGCUAUAGUAAUUAGCUUUUUUUCAAAGCUCUAGCAAUAUUUAUUUCUGCCCCCUAUUGUUGUCAACCAUGUUAUAUGCUGAAUAUAAUAAAGAUACAUCUUACAAAUAAAUCAGUGUAUACUUCAAUCUUUCUGCUUUCUAGAAAGUACCUCCUACUUUUUACUUGCUUUAUUUUCUAUAAGAAUGCAAUUAUACUACUGCGAGAAUAGUUUAGAUACCCGAUUUGCAAUGUUCAGGAUAUUGUACUCCCUCCGUUCGGAAUUACUUGUCUUGGAUAUGGAUGUAUCUAGAACUAAAAUACAUCUAGAUACAUCCAUUUCCGCGACAAGUAAUUCCGAACGGAGGGAGUACCAUAUUGGUCGGGUGCUGAGUAGGGAUAAAUAGGCGAAUUCGCUGACCAACCGAGUAGUGAUUAACUGACCCAGAUGCCAAUUAACUGGCCGAUAUUUGGAACAAUGCCGAUUUGAACUGAAAUUUAUUCGCUUACCACUGCCUUCCUUCUAGGAAUUAUUCAUAUUUUUUGUGUAAAAUUUCCCAGAUUGCCACACCUGGUAUGGUUGAUGAUCUGUGAAAAUUAAAAAAAAUCCAAGAACUUUUUUUGGGUCAAAAUUUGUCAUAAAAGUUCAGAAAUUUUAAAUUUGAUGAUACUCUCAACAAUUCUUUGCUAUUGCUUGUGUAGGAAAGAUCUUGCUGUUACUUGUCUUUUCAACAGUUCUUCUGUGUGGAAGGCUCUUUGCUCACACUCAAAUACUACCUCUGAAACAUGGAAGAAGGAAAAGGUUACUCUUCUGAUCUUG